GACGAACGCUGGCGGCGUGCUUAACACAUGCAAGUCGAACGGUAAGGCCCUUCGGGGUACACGAGUGGCGAACGGGUGAGUAACACGUGGGUGAUCUGCCCUGCACUUCGGGAUAAGCCUGGGAAACUGGGUCUAAUACCGGAUAGGACCACUGCCUGCAUGGGUGGUGGUGGAAAGCUUUUGCGGUGUGGGAGGGGCCCGCGGCCUAGCAGCUUUUUGGUGGGGUGAUGGCCUACCAAGGCGACGACGGGUAGCCGGCCUGAGAGGGUGACCGGCCACACUGGGACUGAGAUACGGCCCAGACUCCUACGGGAGGCAGCAGUGGGGAAUAUUGCACAAUGGGCGCAAGCCUGAUGCAGCGACGCCGCGUGAGGGAUGACGGCCUUCGGGUUGUAAACCUCUUUCAGCACCGACGAAGCGCAAGUGACGGUAGGUGCAGAAGAAGGACCGGCCAACUACGUGCCAGCCGCCGCAGUAA
rnacentral:rRNA from 1 species